GAGAUGACUACCAAAGAGGCUGAGGAACCCACUGAGAGCAGAGGUCUUCAUCAGUGGACAAGUGAGAAGCUGCGCAGAUAGUCGGACCUCCAAAAGAAGAGGAUCACAGAAUGUAAAACUAAAAGAAAUUAACUGAAGGUGGAGAAGGGCCUAUGAAAGUACUAAUCACCAGACAGAACGGAGACAGCUUAUCUCUCUGAUCAACAGAUACUGGUUUUAAAUCACAGACUGGAUAUGAGCCAUCACUUGACAGGCCUGAGCGAGGGGGGAAGUCUUCACUAGCCUAAUGCCAGAAGAGCUGGCUCCUGUACCAACUGCUUCACCACCUUCCCUGACCCAUCCCAG